GGGGAGGAGCCCAGAGCCUGAAUCAGCAUGUGUGUUAGUGGAAGCGUCUGGAAAGGCGCGCGAUACAGGGUGACAGCCCCGUACACAAAAGCGCAUGUGCUGUGAGCUCGAUGAGUAGGGCGGGACACGUGGUAUCCUGUCUGAAUAUGGGGGGACCAUCCUCCAAGGCUAAAUACUCCUGACUGACCGAUAGUGAACCAGUACCGUGAGGGAAAGGCGAAAAGAACCCCGGCGAGGGGAGUGAAAAAGAACCUGAAACCGUGUACGUACAAGCAGUGGGAGCACCCUUUGGGGUGUGACUGCGUACCUUUUGUAUAAUGGGUCAGCGACUUAUAUUCUGUAGCAAG
rnacentral:rRNA from 1 species